rnacentral:rRNA from 1 species
GGAGUUUGGUCCGUGUCUCAGUACCAAUGUGGGGGACCUUCCUCUCAGAACCCCUACUGAUCGAUGGCUCGGUGGGCCGUUACCCCGCCGACUACCUAAUCAGACGCAUCCCCAUCCCAUACCGGUAAACCUUUGGUUCAACUCAGAUGUCCUCGUCGAACAACAUAGGGUAUUAAUCCGACUUUCGCCGGGCUAUCCCCUACGUACAGGGAAGGUUGGAUACGCGUUACUCACCCGUGCGCCGGUCGCCAUCGGAAGUUGCAAGCAACUCCCAUGAUGCCCCUCGACUUGCAUGUGUUAAGCCUGUAGCUAGCGUUCAUC